GCGAAUGCGCCACUUCCCGUCCCGAAUAGUGAAGCUAAGCGCUGUGAGGCGGGGUUAGUACUGAGGUUGGUGACAACUCGGGAAUCCCCCGUGCUGUAUCCU
rnacentral:rRNA from 1 species